UCCCAUUGCCUACACACCAAACAGAUGGGAAACUAACCUUCUACUAGGGAUAUUACUGAGAAAAUGCUGACCCUGAGAAAGGACAAAAGCUAAUCACCAGAGACAAUUUCAGUCCCUCGUCCAGCCUGGAGGCACAGGAGAAAUCUACAUACCAGACUGGAUGUUGAACUUCGCAAAGUGAUCUCCGAGGCUCUCCACAAACCAGAGCAAGGCUGCAAACCGUUUCUCACGCAUCUGUGAGGAGACAAGUGCAGAUAUUGAGAGUACGUCUGGCGGAGACAUUUCAUGCCUGCCUGAGAAGCAUGGAAUAAAGUUACGUUUGGUCAAGGGGUCGCUGUGGAUUCCUCCCCUCUCUGUGGCUGUACAAAUCCCCACUGUCACCUUUCCUCGAAUUUUUUUCAAAACGUUGUCCUGGACUUCAUUCAACCAGUGACAGACGCCACAAGAGAACCUCUCCCUUUAACGUCGAGGCUGACGGGCAGUGACUGUAUGGGGACCCUUUCUGGCUUUGGGGGGUGAAAGCGGCCUCUAUGAUUCGGCCCUUGUUGGUGGCAUUCGUCAGGGAGGAGCUCUGCUGUCUGUGGAGGGCAGAGAGGACUCUCGGCCACGCACGGGUGUACCAGACUUGCUCAGGAGUGUGAAGAGCUAAGUGAGGUUUUCUGCCAAAGCAGAGCCAUAAGUCUCAAGCUUACAACCCCCCCCCCAUAUAUCCUGCUCUGCUCCACACCACAGAAAGUACAAAAGGUACUUUCUCAGAUAUGUUGACUUUUAUGUCAGAUUUUCUGAGAAGACGCAAGGGUUAACUCUCCAAGUCACGUCUCAGAGAAUUGGUGACAGUGCACUGGCCUGAAGGGCCUGAGCCUGCCCCCCAUCCCAUAGCCCUACUGCUCGUUCCACUUGUUGCAGGACACGUAGGACCUCGAACACAUCGAGUCUCUGCUAAUUGUCAAAUGUCAGCACCAUUUCACUUCUAGAUUGGCCCUCCUUCUGGUAGCAAAUAAAGCCUUUUCUUUUCUCGCCUCUAUAUUCUUCACUGCUGGGCAGUUCUUUCUGCAGAAUUCUGUUAUGCACACGCCGUCUGUGAGCUGGAAUGUUGAGUUCAUGCUGCAGAAGACACUGACGUUGAAAAGGACCUGGGAAUAGAAGGGAUGCUCGUGUGUCCUCCAGGUGGGAGCUAGAACAGGAAGAGUUCAAAUGAUCACUGGCUGAGCCCCACCUGCCAGUGAUCUGUAGCCCCCUGGUCCGUGGGGACGUGGGGACAGUUGGAAGCCCCCCAAGGGCACUUGCAGACACUUUAGUUAAAAUCAACACAGUUUAGGCCAGAAGGUUCCCUCAGAGACUACAGAAGUGGUUUCUCAGAGAGUAGAGAAGUUGUAUGAUAAUUUAAAAACAGAAAAAAAAAAUAGGAGAGAAAAUAGAGUUCUAAAAACCCAUUAAUAAUUUAAAAUAGAAGGAAAAUGAGAUGAGGUAGAGUUAUCUUUCAAGUGAGUUUAAAAGAUGAAGGAAGAGUGUAAAGCGUCUAUUGCACAUAAUAUAAACAAGUGAAAAGAAAACUCUGGGAACAGGAACAGUAAACUUGUAGGGUAAAAGAGAAAAUCCAAAAUGUGUCUGAUAUAUACCUUUUACUGUGAACAUCCUUGUGGUUUCUGUUAAAAAGAGCCUCUUUUAAAUGUCAAAAUAAAACACAACUAAUUGCAGCCUAUAUAGAGGAGGAAAAAUCCCUCCUCCUGUCCUUCAAACUCUUCCAGCUGGACUAAAAAUUAAAUUGACAUGAGAUAGAUUAAUGGGAGGAAAAGAAACCCAAAGUUUUAUUAUGUGCCCAUGGAGAUCCAUUAUUGAAAUUGAGACCUAAAGAAAUGACCAAGACAGGCAAUUUUUAUGCUUUUUAAACAAACACGAUAAAUCUGUAAGGAAUUGAUAGGGCAAAGAAAACUUAAUUUGGGGAGCUUUAAUUAGUGAGGAAUUAUAAACAGAAUUUGGGCUGGGGUAGUAAAUUAAUAAAAAGUAACAAAAGUUGUUUAUACAGCCUUCUCCGCUCUAAAUUUCCCGUCUCUGGUGAUAAGGAUGUCUCUUUACCUCCUGGUUCAGAGAGGAUACCUUUCAUGGGAGAUUUAUUUCCUGCUUUUGGGGGGACAAAGUGUGGGGCAGAGUGUCCUUCCUACACGAGCUGACUCAUGAGUAAGUUUAAUGCAAAAUAAUCAAUGUAACAAAGUGGCACAUUUUGGGGUGGCCUGCCCUUGGCUCAUAUACCCACAAAGAUAUGUUUAAUGUAACAAAAUGAAGACAUACAUUCAAAAUAUAGGUGAUAGUACCAGAAGGGCAAUUAACCAGCAAAAUGGAGUAAGUCAUGUUAUUACUACCGGUAAAUAACAUAAAAACUUACCCUCAAAUAUGUAUUAAUUAUUUAAUAUUUUAAUAUUAUUUACUUAUGUAAAUACUUAAAAGCCACAAAAAGUGGGAAGGAAGAUGACAACACAAAAUCAUGAAUAAUAAAAAAAUAAAAAGUAAAAAACAAUGAAACCAUGAAUAAAACAAUGAAAAGAUAAAAUUUAUAUGAUAAUGUGAUAGCAAUAUUAAUAGUGCUUUAGAAAAAAAUUAUAGAGUUUAUAUAUCUAAAUUUAGCCAUUGCAUAAAAAACUGAAAAAUGAAACAAUAAAAUUUGGAAUAAAAUAUGAUAAAUCUAGUAAUUUACUUGUAUCUGUGUAAGAUCUAUGAUUUUACUGUAUCUACGGUGAUUUAAUUCUGUGUCUGACUCCCUUAGUGAUUGAGACCUUCAUGGGGAUGGGUGGUAGGCUAUGUUCAGGAUCUGGUUUCCCACAUAACAAAUGCUUGGUAAAUGUUUUUAAAUGAAUAAAAAGGGGAAGAAAAAGAUUUUUAAGACAUAGAACAAAAUCGAGAGAUUUAAAACAACAUAAAAUGUUUACAGCAACUUAAAAACAAAAGCACCGAAGUCUGACACAUUUACUGGACAAUGUUUCCACACAUCUGAAAAAAAAAGAGAGAGAGAAAAGGAAUAUAAGAAUGAAUGAUUAUUUUGGAGGAGAUCAUAUGCGCCGGACCUCAUGCUCAGACACUACAUUUUAGAAGAGGUGUGAGAGUCAAAACAGAAGACACUGAAAUAGCAAUGUUUGUGGCUGAGAUAAUUGCAUAACUAGAAAACAAGAGAAAAAUAAACCCAAAGACAAGCUAAGCUCUUUUUGCUGUAGCAUCGAAGGAAACCCCAAGCUUUACAGUUAAACUUUAAGCACUAGUGAUAGCUAGAAUGUACAAGAAAGAGAGCCCAUUGUUGGCAGCAAAAACUGAGUACAUAGGAAGGAAUGUUUUAAGAAAUAGAUGUUCAUCUGACACACACACACACCACCCUAAAUGCACAAGAACACACACAUCUACGAAGAGGGAAAGUCUCGCCAAGGUUGAAAAGACUUUUUUAAAAACCUGUAUUAUUCUAAGUAUCAGUCCAUUUCAGUGAGAUUAGGUCUGAGUCAUAUCAUCCCCUCGCUACACCCCCUCCUAACUUCACCACCAGAUCAAUGACCCUAAAACAAAAAUUUAUGAUGCAUCCACUAGCUCAAAACUUCCUCAUCCACCAGACUCCAGCUCUCCCAUAGCACAGAAAAAGUUCAGAAUCCAAAGUCAUGAACAAUGACCCCAUUUAUUCUUGAGGUAUCUCCACUUACUUUUUUCAAUUCAUAAUUAUUUUUUUAUUUUUUUUAAAGAUUUUAUUGAUUUAUUUUAGACAGAGAGCAUGAACAUGUGAGCAGGGGCAGGGGCAGAGGGGGAGGGAGAGAAUCUCAAGCAGAUACCGCCCCGAGUGCAGACCAAGGCACAGGGCUCAAUCCCAUGACCCCAAGACCAUGACCUGAGCUGAAAUCAAGAGUCAGAAGCUUAACUGAGCCACCCGGCACCCCUUUCUGAUGUUUUUUAAGUUGUAGAACAUUCAGAAUGAAAUUUACUCUUUUUUAGGUGUGCAAUACGGUAUUGUUAACAGUAGGCACAGCGUGCAGCAGAUGUCUAGAACUUAACUCAUCUCACGUAAUGGAAACUCGAUGCCCAUUAAAUAGCAACUCCCCAUGUCCUUCUCCCAGCCGCUGGAGGCCACAAGUCUUCUAUAAGUUCGACUAUUUUAGGUUCUUCCUGAAAGUGGAAUCAUACAGUGUUUGUCCUUCUGUGACAGGCUUACCUCACUUAGAAUACUGUCCUCCGCAUUCAUCCGUGGCGUCACCCUUCGUUUUCAUAUUCAUUUUCUGACUUCUAUAUUGUUGCCUAUUAACUGAUCUCCAAUGCCCAUGCCACAGGCUCCCCACCCUUGCAUUUUUCUAUUCACAUACCUUCAUUAAGCUUUUCCAGAUUUUUCCAAGUUAGGCAACCUGUCCCUUCAUCAUACAAUAUAUGCCACCAGUUACUGAAAUCUUACACUUCAUUAGGACAUUUUUUGAAGAUUCAUAUUUAUUUAUUUGAGAGAGAGAGCACAAGCCAGGGGGAGGGGCAGAGGAAGAG